rnacentral:rRNA from 1 species
UAACGGCUAGGAAACGGUCGCUAACUACCGAAUACGCUCCGAUUUCAACUUCGGGGGAAAGGUGGCCUCUGCUUGCAAGCUACUGCUCAUGGAUGAAGUCCGCGUCCCAUUAGCUAGUUGGUGGGGUAACGGCCCACCAAGGCGACGAUGGGUAGCCGGUCUGAGAGGAUGACCGGCCACACUGGGACUGGAACACGGCCCAGACUCCUACGGGAGGCAGCAGUGGGGAAUAUUGCGCAAUGGGCGAAAGCCUGACGCAGCGACGCCGCGUGAGGGAUGAAGGUCCUCGGAUCGCAAACCUCUGUCAGGAGGGAAGAACCGCCACGGUGCUAAUCAGCCGUGGUCUGACGGUACCUCCAAAGGAAGCACCGGCUAACUCCGUGCCAGCCGCCGC